rnacentral:RNase_P_RNA from 1 species
GGAGUAGACUAGGCGAUCGCUGGAUCGAAAGAUCUGGAGGAAAGUCCGAACACCAUAGGGCAGGACGCUCCAUAACGUGGAGUCGCGGCGACGUGAAGGAAAGUGCAGCAGAGAAUAGACCGCCUGGUACCCCUUGGGGUGUCGGGUAAGGGUGAAACGGUGCGGUAAGAGCGCACCAGUUUUCCAGGUGACUGGAAAAGCUUGGUAAACCCCGUCCGGUGCAAGACCAAAUAGAGAAGUGUUUGAGGGCUGCCCGCCCGAGCUUCCGGGUAGGUUGCUUGAGGUGCAUGGCAACAUGCAUCCCAGAUGAAUGAUCGCUGCCCUGGUAUCGGGUAACUGUGCCAGGGAACAGGAUUCGGCUUACUGGCUGGUCCGGCC